rnacentral:rRNA from 1 species
AUUGAACGCUGGCGGCAGGCCUAACACAUGCAAGUCGAGCGAGCGGCGGACGGGUGAGUAAUGUAUGGGGAUCUGCCCGAUAGAGGGGGAUAACUACUGGAAACGGUGGCUAAUACCGCAUACUAUCGGAUGAACCCAUAUGGGAUGAGCUAGUAGGUGGGGUAAAGGCUCACCUAGGCGACGAUCUCUAGCUGGUCUGAGAGGAUGAACAGCCACACUGGGACUGAGACACGGCCCAGACUCCUAGGGGAGGCAGCAGUGGGGAAUAUUGCACAAUGGGGGAAAGCCUGAGGCAGCCAUGCCGCGUGUGUGAAGCAGGCCUUCGGGUUGUAAAGCACUGUCAGCGAGGAGGCGUUACUCGCAGAAGUAGCACCGGCUAACUCCGUGCCAGCAGCCGCGGUAAUAC